UUAAGCGACUAAGCGUACACGGUGGAUGCCCUGGCAGUCAGAGGCGAUGAAGGACGUGCUAAUCUGCGAUAAGCGUCGGUAAGGUGAUAUGAACCGUUAUAACCGGCGAUUUCCGAAUGGGGAAACCCAGUGUGAUUCGUCACACUAUCAUUAACUGAAUCCAUAGGUUAAUGAGGCGAACCGGGGGAACUGAAACAUCUAAGUACCCCGAGGAAAAGAAAUCAACCGAGAUUCCCCCAGUAGCGGCGAGCGAACGGGGAGCAGCCCAGAGCCUGAAUCAGUGUGUGUGUUAGUGGAAGCGUCUGGAAAGGCGCGCGAUACAGGGUGACAGCCCCGUACACAAAAAUGCACAUGCUGUGAGCUCGAUGAGUAGGGCGGGACACGUGGUAUCCUGUCUGAAUAUGGGGGGACCAUCCUCCAAGGCUAAAUACUCCUGACUGACCGAUAGUGAACCAGUACCGUGAGGGAAAGGCGAAAAGAACCCCGGCGAGGGGAGUGAAAAAGAACCUGAAACCGUGUACGUACAAGCAGUGGGAGCACGCUUAGGCGUGUGACUGCGUACCUUUUGUAUAAUGGGUCAGCGACUUAUAUUCUGUAGCAAGGUUAACCGAAUAGGGGAGCCGAAGGGAAACCGAGUCUUAACUGGGCGUUAAGUUGCAGGGUAUAGACCCGAAACCCGGUGAUCUAGCCAUGGGCAGGUUGAAGGUUGGGUAACACUAACUGGAGGACCGAACCGACUAAUGUUGAAAAAUUAGCGGAUGACUUGUGGCUGGGGGUGAAAGGCCAAUCAAACCGGGAGAUAGCUGGUUCUCCCCGAAAGCUAUUUAGGUAGCGCCUCGUGAAUUCAUCUCCGGGGGUAGAGCACUGUUUCGGCAAGGGGGUCAUCCCGACUUACCAACCCGAUGCAAACUGCGAAUACCGGAGAAUGUUAUCACGGGAGACACACGGCGGGUGCUAACGUCCGUCGUGAAGAGGGAAACAACCCAGACCGCCAGCUAAGGUCCCAAAGUCAUGGUUAAGUGGGAAACGAUGUGGGAAGGCCCAGACAGCCAGGAUGUUGGCUUAGAAGCAGCCAUCAUUUAAAGAAAGCGUAAUAGCUCACUGGUCGAGUCGGCCUGCGCGGAAGAUGUAACGGGGCUAAACCAUGCACCGAAGCUGCGGCAGCGACGCUUAUGCGUUGUUGGGUAGGGGAGCGUUCUGUAAGCCUGUGAAGGUGUGCUGUGAGGCAUGCUGGAGGUAUCAGAAGUGCGAAUGCUGACAUAAGUAACGAUAAAGCGGGUGAAAAGCCCGCUCGCCGGAAGACCAAGGGUUCCUGUCCAACGUUAAUCGGGGCAGGGUGAGUCGACCCCUAAGGCGAGGCCGAAAGGCGUAGUCGAUGGGAAACAGGUUAAUAUUCCUGUACUUGGUGUUACUGCGAAGGGGGGACGGAGAAGGCUAUGUUGGCCGGGCGACGGUUGUCCCGGUUUAAGCGUGUAGGCUGGUUUUCCAGGCAAAUCCGGAAAAUCAAGGCUGAGGCGUGAUGACGAGGCACUACGGUGCUGAAGCAACAAAUGCCCUGCUUCCAGGAAAAGCCUCUAAGCAUCAGGUAACAUCAAAUCGUACCCCAAACCGACACAGGUGGUCAGGUAGAGAAUACCAAGGCGCUUGAGAGAACUCGGGUGAAGGAACUAGGCAAAAUGGUGCCGUAACUUCGGGAGAAGGCACGCUGAUAUGUAGGUGAAGUCCCUCGCGGAUGGAGCUGAAAUCAGUCGAAGAUACCAGCUGGCUGCAACUGUUUAUUAAAAACACAGCACUGUGCAAACACGAAAGUGGACGUAUACGGUGUGACGCCUGCCCGGUGCCGGAAGGUUAAUUGAUGGGGUCAGCGCAAGCGAAGCUCUUGAUCGAAGCCCCGGUAAACGGCGGCCGUAACUAUAACGGUCCUAAGGUAGCGAAAUUCCUUGUCGGGUAAGUUCCGACCUGCACGAAUGGCGUAAUGAUGGCCAGGCUGUCUCCACCCGAGACUCAGUGAAAUUGAACUCGCUGUGAAGAUGCAGUGUACCCGCGGCAAGACGGAAAGACCCCGUGAACCUUUACUAUAGCUUGACACUGAACAUUGAGCCUUGAUGUGUAGGAUAGGUGGGAGGCUUAGAAGUGUGGACGCCAGUCUGCAUGGAGCCGACCUUGAAAUACCACCCUUUAAUGUUUGAUGUUCUAACGUUGACCCGUAAUCCGGGUUGCGGACAGUGUCUGGUGGGUAGUUUGACUGGGGCGGUCUCCUCCUAAAGAGUAACGGAGGAGCACGAAGGUUGGCUAAUCCUGGUCGGACAUCAGGAGGUUAGUGCAAUGGCAUAAGCCAGCUUGACUGCGAGCGUGACGGCGCGAGCAGGUGCGAAAGCAGGUCAUAGUGAUCCGGUGGUUCUGAAUGGAAGGGCCAUCGCUCAACGGAUAAAAGGUACUCCGGGGAUAACAGGCUGAUACCGCCCAAGAGUUCAUAUCGACGGCGGUGUUUGGCACCUCGAUGUCGGCUCAUCACAUCCUGGGGCUGAAGUAGGUCCCAAGGGUAUGGCUGUUCGCCAUUUAAAGUGGUACGCGAGCUGGGUUUAGAACGUCGUGAGACAGUUCGGUCCCUAUCUGCCGUGGGCGCUGGAGAACUGAGGGGGGCUGCUCCUAGUACGAGAGGACCGGAGUGGACGCAUCACUGGUGUUCGGGUUGUCAUGCCAAUGGCACUGCCCGGUAGCUAAAUGCGGAAGAGAUAAGUGCUGAAAGCAUCUAAGCACGAAACUUGCCCCGAGAUGAGUUCUCCCUGACCCUUUAAGGGUCCUGAAGGAACGUUGAAGACGACGACGUUGAUAGGCCGGGUGUGUAAGCGCAGCGAUGCGUUGAGCUAACCGGUACUAAUGAACCGUGAGGCUUAACCU
rnacentral:rRNA from 1 species